rnacentral:rRNA from 1 species
UGACGGUAUCAUAUGAAUAAGCACCGGCUAACUCCGUGCCAGCAGCCGCGGUAAUACGGGGGGUGCAAGCGUUACUCGGAAUCACUGGGCGUAAAGAGCAUGUAGGCGGGUGAAUAAGUUGGAAGUGAAAUCCUAUAGCUUAACUAUAGAACUGCUUCCAAAACUGUUCACCUAGAGUAUGGGAGAGGUAGAUGGAAUUUCUGGUGUAGGGGUAAAAUCCGUGGAGAUCAGAAGGAAUACCGAUUGCGAAGGCGAUCUACUGGAACAUUACUGACGCUCAGAUGCGAAAGCGUGGGGAGCAAACAGGAUUAGAUACCCUGGUAGUCCACGCCCUAAACGAUGUACACUAGUUGUUGCUAUACUAGAUAUGGCAGUAAUGCAGUUAACACUUUAAGUGUACCACCUGGGGGAGUACGGUCGCAAGAUUAAAACUCAAAGGAAUAGACGGGGACCCGCACAAGCGGUGGAGCAUGUGGUUUAAUUCGACGAUACGCGAAAAACCUUACCUGGCCUUGACAUAGUAGGAAUCUUUAAGAGAUUAGAGAGUGCUAGCUUGCUAGAACCUACAUACAGGUGCUGCACGGCUGUCGUCAGC